GGCAAUGACCUUCAGGGAGGCCUGAAGACUACGGAGCCCUCCGGACCAGCAACCUCUGACCUUUACCCUUGGGGAGGUGGGGGAAGUCACUAGGAAAGGGAAACAAUAGGAGGAAUCAAAAUGGCUGCCUCAGAGCCCCAGGGGAUCUGGACACACAGGCUGGUUCUCUGGGCACCUCCAUCCCCUUCCUGCCUCAGGGAUGUGAAGGAAAUGAAAUUGUGGACUGGACUCUGGCUCAUUCACCUCUCCCCUGGAGCUCCCAGCUCCUUAGGGCUUUGUCUCCCUGUCCCUGUCAUGACAGUGAGCAGGGGCCAGUUAAUCUAAUUUCUUCAGAAGCCGAGAAGCAGCUGAAGGUGAGCCCCUGCUCUCUAACCCCGUCACCAGAACUCCCUGACUUCUGCACACACUUCCGCCCCAGGUGCCGACCAUCCUCCGGUUCCCACCCUUCCCUGUCUCCCUUAAUACAAGGAAUGGGACACGGGUGAGGUGGCACGUGAGCACAGCCAGUGGGCUCCUUUCUCUGCCCGCUCAGUGAGGGCGGCAUCGAGGAGGGAGGAGGCGACUGGUCUGUGGGGUAGCGGUGGGGGCAGGGCUGUGGGAGUGAAGCCCACCUCCAGAGGGCAGGCCCUGGCUGAGAAGAGCGGGCAGCCUGGGCAGGUGACAGGAUCCGCAGGGCGGGGGGUUGAGCACGUAAGCCCUCCGGUGAGCUCAGGUGGUCUCCCCACAGUUGCGUGGAGCCUUGUUACCAAGGAAGCAGCUCCUGUUGGGAUCAUCAGAUUUUUGGUCUAGCUCAGCAAAGCCACAGCUGCUCCGGCCUUAGAAAAGGAGAUGUUGCUCUGCGGGCUUCCAGGGUGAGCAGCUGGCCAGGCUCUCCCGACCUGCCCCCGACAGCGUCCUCGCGCCCCCUGCUGGCAGAGACGGGGGAAGGACCCGGGAGUGCGCGGUGUGCGCGUGCGCAUGUUUGCUUCCCCAUGGGUGCCCUCCCUGGCCGCAGUCAAACACACACCAGGAGGCUUUGACUUCAGCUUCAGUAAUAAAAAUUUAUUGAGAA